AAAUUGCCCACUCUUUGCAGGAGGCAGUUUUGAGACGUGAAGAUGAGUAUCUUGUAAAGAGGGAUAGGAGAAUUGGAGGGCAAGUUUGGUGCCAGCAGCCGCGGUAAUACCGACUCCAAGAGUGUGUAUGAGAGAUGCUGCAGUUAAAAAGUCCGUAGUCAUAGAAGGGCAAAGAGAGAUGCGAGGUCUCACAGUGCGAUGAUGGAGGAGCCGAUGGGGAACAUAGUAUACCAGGGCGAGAGAUGAAAUGCCAAGACCCCUGGUGGACUGAGCGAGGCGAAGGCGAUGUUCUUGUAGGCAUUCGGUGAUCAAGGACGAAGGCUGGAGUAUCGAAAGUGAUUAGAUACCGCAGUAGUUCCAGCAGUAAAAGAUGCCGACAUGCUCAUUGGACACAGUGGGCAGGGAGAAAUCUUAGAGUUCGGGCUCUGGGGAUAGUAUGCUCGCAAGGGUGAAAAUUAAAGAAAUUGACGGAGCUACACCACAAGGAGUGGAUUGUGCGGCUUAAUUUGACUCAACGCGAGGAAACUUACCAGGGCCAAGUAUUGUGUAGAAACGAGCAAUACAGGAGUGGUGCAUGGUCGUUGGAAAUUGAUGGGAUGACUUUGACCUUAAAUGGUUGAAUGAGUGAGAUCUUUUGGACAUGUUCCGCACGGAACAGGAAGGAAAAGGCUAUAACAGAUCCGAGAUGCCCUCAGAUGCCCUGGGCUGCACGCGCAAUACAAUAGCAGGUAGAGAGAGAGACAGGAAGGUGCUCAGAUGGACUAUGUGCUGUAAGGCACAUACGAAAGAGGAAUUCCUAGUAAGUGUGUAUCAACAAUG
rnacentral:rRNA from 1 species